AACGAACGCUGGCGGCGUGCUUAAUACAUGACAAGUCGAACGAGAAAGUUCAGCUUCGGUUGAACGAUUAAAGUGGCGAACGGGUGAGUAACACGUGGGCAAUCUGCCCUUAAGUUUGGGAUAAGCCUUCGAAAGGAGGUCUAAUACCGGAUAACAUCUCUAGAUGGCAUCUUUUUGAGAUCAAAGGCGGGGUAACCUGCCGCUUGAGGAUGAGCCCGCGCUCCAUUAGCUUGUUGGUGAGGUAACGGCUCACCAAGGCUUCGAUGGAUAGCCGGCCUGAGAGGGUGAACGGCCACACUGGGACUGAGAUACGGCCCAG
rnacentral:rRNA from 1 species